UUAAGUUGUACCGGUACCGUAGGUUUUAACCUCGGACCGUAGAGUUUUAUCCGGGCUGCCGAAAAGUGGCAACCGGGUGCCUAAUGUUUCGGAACGUGCCCAGUAACGGGGGAUAACUACGCCAAAGCGUGGCUAAUACCGCAUACCCCCUACGGGGGAAAGGGGGGGAUCGCAAGACCUCUCACUAUUGGAGCGGCCGAUAUCGGAUUACUAGUUGGUGAGGUAAAGGCUCACCAAGGCGACAUCCGUACUGGUUUGAAAGACACCACCACACUGGGACUGAACCGGCCCAACUCCUACGGGAGGCAGCAUGGGGAAUUUUGGACAAUGGGGGCAACCCUGAUCCAGCGUCCCCGUGUGCAUAAAAGCCUUCGGGUUGUAAAGCACUUUUGGCAGGAAAAAAAUUUCGGGCUAAACCCUGGACAUACGGACCUGCAUAAUAUCCCCGGGUAACUACGUG
rnacentral:rRNA from 1 species